AGAGUUUGAUCCUGGCUCAGAGUGAACGCUGGCGGCAGGCCUAAUACAUGCAAGUCGAACGGCAGCACGGCAGAGCUUGCUCUGUGGGUGGCGAGUGGCGGACGGGUGAGGAAUACAUGGGAAUCUGCCCAGUCGUGGGGGAUAACGUAGGGAAACUUACGCUAAUACCGCAUGCGCCCUUCGGGGGAAAGCCGGGGACCUUCGGGCCUGGCGCGAUUGGAUGAGCCCAUGUCGGAUUAGCUAGUUGGCGGGGUAAUGGCCCACAAGGCGACGAUCCGUAGCUGGUCUGAGAGGAUGAUCAGCCACACUGGAACUGAGACACGGUCCAGACUCCUACGGGAGGCAGCAGUAGGGAAUAUUGGACAAUGGGCGCAAGCCUGAUCCAGCCAUGCCGCGUGAGUGAAGAAGGCCCUCGGGUUGUAAAGCUCUUUUGUCCGGAAAGAAAAGCGCCGGGUUAAUACCCUGGUGUCCUGACGGUACCGGAAGAAUAAGCACCGGCUAACUUCGUG
rnacentral:rRNA from 1 species